GCGUUGUUGGAGUAGUAGUCAACUCAUUUCCCUCACAUACAAUUCACAAUUUAGGAAGGAAAGGACCUGGGUGCAAAUCCCGGACAGCGCA